rnacentral:rRNA from 1 species
AUUGAACGCUGGCGGCAGGCCUAACACAUGCAAGUCGAACGGUAACAGGAAGCAGCUUGCUGCUUUGCUGACGAGUGGCGGACGGGUGAGUAAUGUCUGGGAAACUGCCCGAUGGAGGAGGAUAACUACUGGAAACGGUAGCUAAUACCGCAUAACGUCGCAAGACCAAAGAGGGGGACCUUAGGGCCUCUUGCCAUCGGAUGUGCCCAGAUGGGAUUAGCUAGUAGGUGGGGUAACGGCUCACCUAGGCGACGAUCCCUAGCUGGUCUGAGAGGAUGACCAGCCACACUGGAACUGAGACACGGUCCAGACUCCUACGGGAGGCAGCAGUGGGGAAUAUUGCACAAUGGGCGCAAGCCUGAUGCAGCCAUGCCGCGUGUAUGAAGAAGGCCUUCGGGUUGUAAAGUACUUUCAGCGGGGAGGAAGGGAGUAAAGUUAAUACCUUUGCUCAUUGACGUUACCCGCAGAAGAAGCACCGGCUAACUCCGUGC